GCCACUGGCAAAGAAACACAAACAAAAUUUUCACUUCCCAGUUGGUAUCCAGUGUCUCUUUCUCUCUCAACAACCACUUUCUCUGAACCUUUUGGUCUUUUGGCUUCUCUGCAACUUUACUUUGUUGAGCUUUCAUUUACGGAGAGCCAAAAUUGCCUUCAUUUGUCCAAUUCAGAGUCUUUUUUUAUAGAUCUUUAGAAAAAUCUUUUUUUUUUUCCCGUUUCUGUUU
rnacentral:misc_RNA from 1 species